rnacentral:ncRNA from 2 species
UCAUAUACGUGUCAUUUAGGUGCCCUUGCAUUGCGCCAAGGGGUAACAGGGAAUUAGGUUGAAAUCCUAAGCGGUCCCGCCACUGUAACUGAUGAGAACGUCAUUCAUUGUGCCACUCAAAUUGGGGAAGGCGAUGACGUUUGUUGACCAGAAGCCAGGAGACCUACCUAGAUGUGAACACCCAU